GACGAACGCUGGCGGCGUGCUUAACACAUGCAAGUCGAACGGAAAGGCCCUGCUUUUGUGGGGUGCUCGAGUGGCGAACGGGUGAGUAACACGUGAGUAACCUGCCCUUGACUUUGGGAUAACUUCAGGAGACUGGGGCUAAUACCGGAUAGGAGCUCCUGCUGCAUGGUGGGGGUUGGAAAGUUUCGGCGGUUGGGGAUGGACUCGCGGCUUAUCAGCUUGUUGGUGGGGUAGUGGCUUACCAAGGCUUUGACGGGUAGCCGGCCUGAGAGGGUGACCGGCCACAUUGGGACUGAGAUACGGCCCAGACUCCUACGGGAGGCAGCAGUGGGGAAUAGUGCACAAUGGGCGGAAGCCUGAUGCAGCAACGCCGCGUGCGGGAUGACGGCGUUCGGGUUGUAAACCGCUUUCGCCUGUGACGAAGCGUGAGUGACGGUAAUGGGUAAAGAAGCACCGGCUAACUACGUG
rnacentral:rRNA from 1 species